AGUGAACGCUGGCGGUAGGCCUAACACAUGCAAGUCGAACGGCAGCACAGUAAGAGCUUGCUCUUACGGGUGGCGAGUGGCGGACGGGUGAGGAAUACAUCGGAAUCUACUUUUUCGUGGGGGAUAACGUAGGGAAACUUACGCUAAUACCGCAUACGACCUACGGGUGAAAGCAGGGGAUCUUCGGACCUUGCGCGAUUGAAUGAGCCGAUGUCGGAUUAGCUAGUUGGCGGGGUAAAGGCCCACCAAGGCGACGAUCCGUAGGUGGUCUGAGAGGAUGAGCAGCCACACUGGAACUGAGACACGGUCCAGACCCCUACGGGGGGCAGCAGGGGGGAAUAUUGGACAAUGGGCGCAAGCCUGAUCCAGCCAUACCGCGUGGGUGAAGAAGGCCUUCGGGUUGUAAAGCCCUUUUGUUGGGAAAGAAAAGCAGCAGGUUAAUACCCCGCUGUUCUGACGGUACCCAAAGAAUAAACACCGGCGAACUUCGU
rnacentral:rRNA from 1 species